UUAAGCGACUAAGCGUACACGGUGGAUGCCCUGGCAGUCAGAGGCGAUGAAGGGCGUGCUAAUCUGCGAUAAGCGCCGGUAAGGUGAUAUGAACCGUUAUAACCGGCGAUACCCGAAUGGGGAAACCCAGUGUGACUCGUCACACUAUCAUUAACUGAAUCCAUAGGUUAAUGAGGCGAACCGGGGGAACUGAAACAUCUAAGUACCCCGAGGAAAAGAAAUCAACCGAGAUUCCCCCAGUAGCGGCGAGCGAACGGGGAGGAGCCCAGAGCCUGAAUCAGCAUGUGUGUUAGUGGAAGCGUCUGGAAAGGCGCGCGAUACAGGGUGACAGCCCCGUACACAAAAGCGCAUGUGCUGUGAGCUCGAUGAGUAGGGCGGGACACGUGGUAUCCUGUCUGAAUAUGGGGGGACCAUCCUCCAAGGCUAAAUACUCCUGACUGACCGAUAGUGAACCAGUACCGUGAGGGAAAGGCGAAAAGAACCCCGGCGAGGGGAGUGAAAAAGAACCUGAAACCGUGUACGUACAAGCAGUGGGAGCCCCACCACUAAGCCAGUGGUGAACUCCACAUCCGCAUCCUUUGCUGAGGAUACGGUUAACGGAGCGAAAGCGACGUUCAACCGCAAAACAAGCAGAGGGGGCUUAGUGGUGGGGUGACUGCGUACCUUUUGUAUAAUGGGUCAGCGACUUAUAUUCUGUAGCAAGGUUAACCGUAUAGGGGAGCCGGAGGGAAACCGAGUCUUAAUUGGGCGUUAAGUUGCAGGGUAUAGACCCGAAACCCGGUGAUCUAGCCAUGGGCAGGUUGAAGGUUGGGUAACACUAACUGGAGGACCGAACCGACUAAUGUUGAAAAAUUAGCGGAUGACCUGUGGCUGGGGGUGAAAGGCCAAUCAAACCGGGAGAUAGCUGGUUCUCCCCGAAAGCUAUUUAGGUAGCGCCUCGUGAAUUCAUCUCCGGGGGUAGAGCACUGUUUCGGCUAGGGGGCCAUCCCGGCUUACCAACCCGAUGCAAACUGCGAAUACCGGAGAAUGUUAUCACGGGAGACACACGGCGGGUGCUAACGUCCGUCGUGAAGAGGGAAACAACCCAGACCGCCAGCUAAGGUCCCAAAGUCAUGGUUAAGUGGGAAACGAUGUGGGAAGGCCCAGACAGCCAGGAUGUUGGCUUAGAAGCAGCCAUCAUUUAAAGAAAGCGUAAUAGCUCACUGGUCGAGUCGGCCUGCGCGGAAGAUGUAACGGGGCUAAACCAUGCACCGAAGCUGCGGCAGCGAACGUAUCACCCAAGACAACUUUACGGAGUUGACGAUUGACGGAGCGAAGCGACGUCAAAGCGUUCAUUAAAGUCGAGUUGGCUUAGGGAUACGUUCGUUGGGUAGGGGAGCGUUCUGUAAGCCUGUGAAGGUGUGUCGUGAGGCAUGCUGGAGGUAUCAGAAGUGCGAAUGCUGACAUAAGUAACGAUAAAGCGGGUGAAAAGCCCGCUCGCCGGAAGACCAAGGGUUCCUGUCCAACGUUAAUCGGGGCAGGGUGAGUCGACCCCUAAGGCGAGGCCGAAAGGCGUAGUCGAUGGGAAACGGGUUAAUAUUCCCGUACUUGGUGUUACUGCGAAGGGGGGACGGAGAAGGCUAUGUUGGCCGGGCGACGGUUGUCCCGGUUUAAGCGUGUAGGUGUGUGUUCCAGGUAAAUCCGGUUCACUUUAACACUGAGGCGUGACGACGAGGCACUACGGUGCUGAAGCAACAAAUGCCCUGCUUCCAGGAAAAGCCUCUAAGCAUCAGGUAACACGAAAUCGUACCCCAAACCGACACAGGUGGUCAGGUAGAGAAUACCAAGGCGCUUGAGAGAACUCGGGUGAAGGAACUAGGCAAAAUGGUGCCGUAACUUCGGGAGAAGGCACGCUGACACGUAGGUGAAGUGAUUUACUCAUGGAGCUGAAGUCAGUCGAAGAUACCAGCUGGCUGCAACUGUUUAUUAAAAACACAGCACUGUGCAAACACGAAAGUGGACGUAUACGGUGUGACGCCUGCCCGGUGCCGGAAGGUUAAUUGAUGGGGUCAGCGUAAGCGAAGCUCCUGAUCGAAGCCCCGGUAAACGGCGGCCGUAACUAUAACGGUCCUAAGGUAGCGAAAUUCCUUGUCGGGUAAGUUCCGACCUGCACGAAUGGCGUAAUGAUGGCCAGGCUGUCUCCACCCGAGACUCAGUGAAAUUGAACUCGCUGUGAAGAUGCAGUGUACCCGCGGCAAGACGGAAAGACCCCGUGAACCUUUACUAUAGCUUGACACUGAACAUUGAGCCUUGAUGUGUAGGAUAGGUGGGAGGCUUUGAAGUGUGGACGCCAGUCUGCAUGGAGCCGACCUUGAAAUACCACCCUUUAAUGUUUGAUGUUCUAACGUGGACCCGUAAUCCGGGUUGCGGACAGUGUCUGGUGGGUAGUUUGACUGGGGCGGUCUCCUCCUAAAGAGUAACGGAGGAGCACGAAGGUUGGCUAAUCCUGGUCGGACAUCAGGAGGUUAGUGCAAUGGCAUAAGCCAGCUUGACUGCGAGCGUGACGGCGCGAGCAGGUGCGAAAGCAGGUCAUAGUGAUCCGGUGGUUCUGAAUGGAAGGGCCAUCGCUCAACGGAUAAAAGGUACUCCGGGGAUAACAGGCUGAUACCGCCCAAGAGUUCAUAUCGACGGCGGUGUUUGGCACCUCGAUGUCGGCUCAUCACAUCCUGGGGCUGAAGUAGGUCCCAAGGGUAUGGCUGUUCGCCAUUUAAAGUGGUACGCGAGCUGGGUUUAGAACGUCGUGAGACAGUUCGGUCCCUAUCUGCCGUGGGCGCUGGAGAACUGAGGGGGGCUGCUCCUAGUACGAGAGGACCGGAGUGGACGCAUCACUGGUGUUCGGGUUGUCAUGCCAAUGGCACUGCCCGGUAGCUAAAUGCGGAAGAGAUAAGUGCUGAAAGCAUCUAAGCACGAAACUUGCCCCGAGAUGAGUUCUCCCUGAGACUUAGAGUCUCCUGAAGGAACGUUGAAGACGACGACGUUGAUAGGCCGGGUGUGUAAGCGCAGCGAUGCGUUGAGCUAACCGGUACUAAUGAACCGUGAGGCUUAACCUU
rnacentral:rRNA from 1 species